rnacentral:misc_RNA from 1 species
GAUGAAGAACGUAGCGAAAUGCGAUAAGUAAUGUGAAUUGCAGAAUUCAGUGAAUCAUCGAAUCUUUGAACGCACCUUGCGCCUUUUGGUAUUCCGAAAGGCACACCUGUUUGAGCGUCAUGAAUACCUCAAUCUCCAUCUUUUCUUCGGAUUGAUGGGUGACUUGGAUGUUGAGCCCUGCUGGUAUGCUAUAUCAGCUGGCUUUAAACUUAUUAGCCGGCUCUGUACUGGAUCGGUUUGACUCGACGUGAUAAUAUUAUCGUUGAGGAUGCAUGUCUCAUGCAGCCGGAAAGUAUCAAAGCAUCUUCUAGCUUGCCUUUAGUGCACUUUUACAUUUUAGACCUCAGAUCAGGUGGGACUACCCGCUGAACUUAAGCAUAUCAAUAAGCGGAGGA